UACGUAGGGGGCAAGCGUUGUCCGGAUUUAUUGGGCGUAAAGAGCGUGUAGGCGGUUCGGUAGGUCCGUUGUGAAAACUCGAGGCUCAACCUCGAGACGCCGAUGGAAACCAUCGAACUAGAGUCCGGAAGAGGAGAGUGGAAUUCCUGGUGUAGCGGUGAAAUGACGCAGAUAUCAGGAAGAACACCCGUGGCUAAGGCGGCUCUCUAGUACGGUACUGACGCUGAAACGCGAAAGCGUGGGGAGCGAACAGG
rnacentral:rRNA from 1 species